CUGGAGACAGGUGCUGCAUGGCUGUCGUCAGCUCGUGUCGUGAGAUGUUGGGUUAAGUCCCGCAACGAGCGCAACCCUUGCCUUUAGUUGCCAGCAGUUCGGCUGGGCGACUCUAAAGGGACUGCCGGUGUUAAACCGGAGGAAGGUGGGGGAUGACGUCAAGUCCUCAUGGCCUUUAUGACCAGGGCUACACACGUACUACAAUGGCCGAUACAAAGGGCAGCGACACUGCGAGGUGAAGCCAAUCCCGUAAAAUCGGUCUCAGUCCGGAUUGGAGUCUGCAACUCGACUCCAUGAAGUUGGAAUCGCUAGUAAUCGUGGAUCAGCAUGCCACGGUGAAUACGUUCCCGGGCCUU
rnacentral:rRNA from 1 species